GUCCCCAUCAUCUAGAGGCCUAGGAUACCGCCCUUUCACGGCGGCGACCGGGGUUCGAAUCCCCGUGGGGACGCCA
rnacentral:tRNA from 2 species